rnacentral:rRNA from 1 species
AGCAGCCGCGGUAAUUCCAGCUCCAAUAGCGUAUAUUAAAGUUGUUGCAGUUAAAAAGCUCGUAGUUGAAUUUCGGGGUCAGUAGGUUGGUCGUGCCACCGGUACGUACUGGUCUCACUGAUUCCUCCUUCCUGAAGAACCGUAAUGCCAUUAAUUUGGUGUUGCGGGGAAACAGGACUGUUACUUUGAAAAAAUUAGAGUGUUUAAAGCAGGCUAACGCUUGAAUACAUUAGCAUGGAAUAAUGAAAUAGGACGAUCGAUCCUAUUUUGUUGGUUUCUAGGAUUGACGUAAUGAUUAAUAGGGAUAGUUGGGGGCAUUAGUAUUCAAUUGUCAGAGGUGAAAUUCUUGGAUUUAUUGAAGACUAACUACUGCGAAAGCAUUUGCCAAGGAUGUUUUCAUUAAUCAAGAACGAAAGUUAGGGGAUCGAAGACGAUCAGAUACCGUCGUAGUCUUAACCAUAAACUAUGCCGACUAGGGAUCGGAUGAUGUAAUUUUAUAAUUGACUCAUUCGGCGCCUUA